CAGCAGCCGCGGUAAUACGAAGGGUGCAAGCGUUAAUCGGAAUUACUGGGCGUAAAGCGUGCGUAGGCGGUGAGUUAAGUCUGCUGUGAAAUCCCCGGGCUCAACCUGGGAAUGGCAGUGGAUACUGGCUCGCUAGAGUGUGUCAGAGGAUGGUGGAAUUCCCGGUGUAGCGGUGAAAUGCGUAGAGAUCGGGGGGAACAUCAGUGGCGAAGGCGGCCAUCUGGGACAAUACUGACGCUCAUGCACGAAAGCGUGGGGAGCAAACAGGAUUAGAUACCCCCGUAGUCCCUGUCUCUUAUAC
rnacentral:rRNA from 1 species